rnacentral:rRNA from 1 species
AUUGAACGCUGGCGGCAGGCUUAACACAUGCAAGUCGAGCGGUAGCACAGGGGAGCUUGCUCCCUGGGUGACGAGCGGCGGACGGGUGAGUAAUGCAUGGGAAUCUGCCUGGUAGUGGGGGACAACGUUCCGAAAGGAACGCUAAUACCGCAUACGCCCUGAGGGGGAAAGUGGGGGAUCUUCGGACCUCACGCUAUCAGAUGAGCCCAUGUCGGAUUAGCUAGUUGGUAGGGUAAAGGCCUACCAAGGCGACGAUCCGUAGCUGGUCUGAGAGGAUGACCAGCCACACUGGGACUGAGACACGGCCCAGACUCCUACGGGAGGCAGCAGUGGGGAAUAUUGGACAAUGGGCGCAAGCCUGAUCCAGCCAUGCCGCGUGGGUGAAGAAGGCCUCGGUUGUAAGACCUUU